CGAAGUAGCUUAGUUGGUAGAGCAGCUGAUUCGUAAUUAGCAGGUCGGGGGUUCAAAUCCUCUCUUCGGC
rnacentral:tRNA from 1 species